AGAGUUUGAUCAUGGCUCAGAUUGAACGCUGGCGGCAGGCCUAACACAUGCAAGUCGAGCGGUAGCACAGAGAGCUUGCUCUCGGGUGACGAGCGGCGGACGGGUGAGUAAUGUCUGGGAAACUGCCUGAUGGAGGGGGAUAACUACUGGAAACGGUAGCUAAUACCGCAUAAUGUCGCAAGACCAAAGUGGGGGACCUUCGGGCCUCAUGCCAUCAGAUGUGCCCAGAUGGGAUUAGCUAGUAGGUGGGGUAACGGCUCACCUAGGCGACGAUCCCUAGCUGGUCUGAGAGGAUGACCAGCCACACUGGAACUGAGACACGGUCCAGACUCCUACGGGAGGCAGCAGUGGGGAAUAUUGCACAAUGGGCGCAAGCCUGAUGCAGCCAUGCCGCGUGUGUGAAGAAGGCCUUCGGGUUGUAAAGCACUUUCAGCGGGGAGGAAGGCGNNNNNNNNNNNNNNNNUAAGGUUAAUAACCUUGGCGAUUGACGUUACCCGCAGAAGAAGCACCGGCUAACUCCGUGCCAGCAGCCGCGGUAAUACGGAGGGUGCAAGCGUUAAUCGGAAUUACUGGGCGUAAAGCGCACGCAGGCGGUCUGUCAAGUCGGAUGUGAAAUCCCCGGGCUCAACCUGGGAACUGCAUUCGAAACUGGCAGGCUAGAGUCUUGUAGAGGGGGGUAGAAUUCCAGGUGUAGCGGUGAAAUGCGUAGAGAUCUGGAGGAAUACCGGUGGCGAAGGCGGCCCCCUGGACAAAGACUGACGCUCAGGUGCGAAAGCGUGGGGAGCAAACAGGAUUAGAUACCCUGGUAGUCCACGCCGUAAACGAUGUCGAUUUGGAGGUUGUGCCCUUGAGGCGUGGCUUCCGGAGCUAACGCGUUAAAUCGACCGCCUGGGGAGUACGGCCGCAAGGUUAAAACUCAAAUGAAUUGACGGGGGCCCGCACAAGCGGUGGAGCAUGUGGUUUAAUUCGAUGCAACGCGAAGAACCUUACCUGGUCUUGACAUCCACAGAACUUUCCAGAGAUGGAUUGGUGCCUUCGGGAACUGUGAGACAGGUGCUGCAUGGCUGUCGUCAGCUCGUGUUGUGAAAUGUUGGGUUAAGUCCCGCAACGAGCGCAACCCUUAUCCUUUGUUGCCAGCGGUUAGGCCGGGAACUCAAAGGAGACUGCCAGUGAUAAACUGGAGGAAGGUGGGGAUGACGUCAAGUCAUCAUGGCCCUUACGACCAGGGCUACACACGUGCUACAAUGGCAUAUACAAAGAGAAGCGACCUCGCGAGAGCAAGCGGACCUCAUAAAGUAUGUCGUAGUCCGGAUUGGAGUCUGCAACUCGACUCCAUGAAGUCGGAAUCGCUAGUAAUCGUAGAUCAGAAUGCUACGGUGAAUACGUUCCCGGGCCUUGUACACACCGCCCGUCACACCAUGGGAGUGGGUUGCAAAAGAAGUAGGUAGCUUAACCUUCGGGAGGGCGCUUACCACUUUGUGAUUCAUGACUGGGGUGAAGUCGUAACAAGGUAACCGUAGGGGAACCUGCGGUUGGAUCACCU
rnacentral:rRNA from 1 species